CCCUGUGAAAGGGUUGUUUGACCCCCAAAGGGGUCGCGACCCACAGGUUGAGAACUGCUGCCCUGGAAGAAUGUUGGUGACUGGAGGACAGUCAUGCCUGUUGGAGUGCCUGUGAUUCCCGUUGUACUCAUUUUCCCAGAAGUUUCCUAUUGAAUUUUUAUGACAACAGAGAGACAUGGACAGACUCCAACAAAAAUGAAAUCUUUAUGGAAAAGUCAUUUCUCUCCUGGAGCCUCAGUGGAUGGAGAUACAGAGAGACCAGUGGGGAGCGGGGGCGUCCUACUCUGCUUGGCUGAAGACCAACGGGCUGAGUGGCAGCUGCUGAGCUGGUUUUUAUGGCAGCGUUGUGACCGCUGGGGGAGUGGGGGCAGUCUGAGACCUGGAAAAGGAAAUUAAUUCACUUGUGGCUGCACCGCUGAACCCCGGCCAGAAACCUCCACAGAGGACUGUUGCUGAGAACUUGCCUUCACCCAGGGGACCUGAGAGCGCCCGACACGUGAGCCAGGUGCCUCUGCCCGGAAUAUUCCAGUCCAACACUGCUGAUCUGCACAGGAGACCAGGAUGAGCCCAGCCGGACCCUCCACUCAGUCCUUUCACUCAGUUUGCUGCCCCAGUUCACCGGUUUUCAGAAUCUACACCCACAUCCGGCCACCACUCUGAUUUCCAGAUAUUACCUUUAUCAACACAGCGGGCUUUCCCAAAAAUGACUGAUGGCUCAUGGCCUUUAUUUUCAGCCACAAACAAAAAGGGACUUAAAAGAUGUGUGGGCAAGGUGAGGAGCAGGAGGGGAAGGGCUUGGCUGAGGCCUGCUGUUCCUAGCAAGGUUCCCAUCCUUUAGGAACUGGAUCCUUACCAGGAGACUGUCUGGCAGUUUCUUCUAGAAGCUAUGGAUAUGGCAAUCUAUGACGAUCCAGUUUGAUUUCAUUUUUGUAUAUGGGAUGAGGUCAGGCCAGCCCUCUGCGUGGACCCAGCUGAUAGCCAGCCUCUGUGGGGCCUCUGGGAGGCCUAGCAGAGACCAGACCCUUCCAGGGGGGCCAGGAAAGCCUCCAGCACAGUCAGGUGGCCCUUGAGUGCCAAGAGGACUACCUUCUGUCACAUAAAGGGUAGUGGGCUGCACUGCAUGCCAUUUAACCAGCUGCAGAACCUUAGACAUUUGCACAGCAUUCCGUCUUUGGAAAAUACUAGUGAUGCUGCGUAAAUAUCCCUCUAUGUCCCACCGCUCACACCUGUGUGAUGAGUUCUCAGAGGCAGAGUCCCCAGGUAAAUGGACAGUAUGUCUGCUGUUUUGAUAAAUGUUGCCCAACUGAACUACUCUGCAAACACCUGGCAUGAAUAAGAGUGCCCAUUCAAACAUCUCUGUGAACAUUGCAGGUGACCACAAGGAGACUGGUCGAAAGAUGAAAAAUGGCUGUUGGUAUAAAUGUGCACUGCCUUUGUCUUGUCACCAAUGGUGUGGAGCGGUACUCCAAGUGCCUAAGCACCAUUCGUACUCCCGGUCCGAUGUCUCCUCGGUUCAUCCUUCCCCAGUUCCUAUCUGAUUGCCGGUCUCGUAUUGAUUUCUAGGGAUCUGUAUGUAUUAGGGAUAUUUGCACUUUGUCUGUGACAUUAAAACAGUUUUGCUCAGUUUGACUUUGCAUCUUGAGUUUGCUUGCAGCAGGUUUGGCCGUACAGAGAAGACUUGGUUGUUAGGCAGUCAUUUUCAACAGCUGUUUUCCCUUUUAGUUUUGUCUUCUGUGUUCAUGCUACUAAAGACAUUCAUUCCUCCCU